GGGUUGUGAGGUUAAGCGACUAAGCGUACACGGUGGAUGCCCUGGCAGUCAGAGGCGAUGAAGGACGUGCUAAUCUGCGAUAAGCGUCGGUAAGGUGAUAUGAACCGUUAUAACCGGCGAUUUCCGAAUGGGGAAACCCAGUGUGAUUCGUCACACUAUCAUUAACUGAAUCCAUAGGUUAAUGAGGCGAACCGGGGGAACUGAAACAUCUAAGUACCCCGAGGAAAAGAAAUCAACCGAGAUUCCCCCAGUAGCGGCGAGCGAACGGGGAGCAGCCCAGAGCCUGAAUCAGUGUGUGUGUUAGUGGAAGCGUCUGGAAAGGCGCGCGAUACAGGGUGACAGCCCCGUACACAAAAAUGCACAUGCUGUGAGCUCGAUGAGUAGGGCGGGACACGUGGUAUCCUGUCUGAAUAUGGGGGGACCAUCCUCCAAGGCUAAAUACUCCUGACUGACCGAUAGUGAACCAGUACCGUGAGGGAAAGGCGAAAAGAACCCCGGCGAGGGGAGUGAAAAAGAACCUGAAACCGUGUACGUACAAGCAGUGGGAGCCUCUUUAUGGGGUGACUGCGUACCUUUUGUAUAAUGGGUCAGCGACUUAUAUUCUGUAGCAAGGUUAACCGAAUAGGGGAGCCGAAGGGAAACCGAGUCUUAACUGGGCGUUAAGUUGCAGGGUAUAGACCCGAAACCCGGUGAUCUAGCCAUGGGCAGGUUGAAGGUUGGGUAACACUAACUGGAGGACCGAACCGACUAAUGUUGAAAAAUUAGCGGAUGACUUGUGGCUGGGGGUGAAAGGCCAAUCAAACCGGGAGAUAGCUGGUUCUCCCCGAAAGCUAUUUAGGUAGCGCCUCGUGAAUUCAUCUCCGGGGGUAGAGCACUGUUUCGGCAAGGGGGUCAUCCCGACUUACCAACCCGAUGCAAACUGCGAAUACCGGAGAAUGUUAUCACGGGAGACACACGGCGGGUGCUAACGUCCGUCGUGAAGAGGGAAACAACCCAGACCGCCAGCUAAGGUCCCAAAGUCAUGGUUAAGUGGGAAACGAUGUGGGAAGGCCCAGACAGCCAGGAUGUUGGCUUAGAAGCAGCCAUCAUUUAAAGAAAGCGUAAUAGCUCACUGGUCGAGUCGGCCUGCGCGGAAGAUGUAACGGGGCUAAACCAUGCACCGAAGCUGCGGCAGCGACACUAUGUGUUGUUGGGUAGGGGAGCGUUCUGUAAGCCUGUGAAGGUGUACUGUGAGGUAUGCUGGAGGUAUCAGAAGUGCGAAUGCUGACAUAAGUAACGAUAAAGCGGGUGAAAAGCCCGCUCGCCGGAAGACCAAGGGUUCCUGUCCAACGUUAAUCGGGGCAGGGUGAGUCGACCCCUAAGGCGAGGCCGAAAGGCGUAGUCGAUGGGAAACAGGUUAAUAUUCCUGUACUUGGUGUUACUGCGAAGGGGGGACGGAGAAGGCUAUGUUGGCCGGGCGACGGUUGUCCCGGUUUAAGCGUGUAGGCUGGUUUUCCAGGCAAAUCCGGAAAAUCAAGGCUGAGGCGUGAUGACGAGGCACUACGGUGCUGAAGCAACAAAUGCCCUGCUUCCAGGAAAAGCCUCUAAGCAUCAGGUAACAUCAAAUCGUACCCCAAACCGACACAGGUGGUCAGGUAGAGAAUACCAAGGCGCUUGAGAGAACUCGGGUGAAGGAACUAGGCAAAAUGGUGCCGUAACUUCGGGAGAAGGCACGCUGAUACGUAGGUGAAGUCCCUUGCGGAUGGAGCUGAAAUCAGUCGAAGAUACCAGCUGGCUGCAACUGUUUAUUAAAAACACAGCACUGUGCAAACACGAAAGUGGACGUAUACGGUGUGACGCCUGCCCGGUGCCGGAAGGUUAAUUGAUGGGGUUAGCGGUAACGCGAAGCUCUUGAUCGAAGCCCCGGUAAACGGCGGCCGUAACUAUAACGGUCCUAAGGUAGCGAAAUUCCUUGUCGGGUAAGUUCCGACCUGCACGAAUGGCGUAAUGAUGGCCAGGCUGUCUCCACCCGAGACUCAGUGAAAUUGAACUCGCUGUGAAGAUGCAGUGUACCCGCGGCAAGACGGAAAGACCCCGUGAACCUUUACUAUAGCUUGACACUGAACAUUGAGCCUUGAUGUGUAGGAUAGGUGGGAGGCUUUGAAGUGUGGACGCCAGUCUGCAUGGAGCCGACCUUGAAAUACCACCCUUUAAUGUUUGAUGUUCUAACGUUGGCCCCUAAUCGGGGUUGCGGACAGUGUCUGGUGGGUAGUUUGACUGGGGCGGUCUCCUCCUAAAGAGUAACGGAGGAGCACGAAGGUUGGCUAAUCCUGGUCGGACAUCAGGAGGUUAGUGCAAUGGCAUAAGCCAGCUUGACUGCGAGCGUGACGGCGCGAGCAGGUGCGAAAGCAGGUCAUAGUGAUCCGGUGGUUCUGAAUGGAAGGGCCAUCGCUCAACGGAUAAAAGGUACUCCGGGGAUAACAGGCUGAUACCGCCCAAGAGUUCAUAUCGACGGCGGUGUUUGGCACCUCGAUGUCGGCUCAUCACAUCCUGGGGCUGAAGUAGGUCCCAAGGGUAUGGCUGUUCGCCAUUUAAAGUGGUACGCGAGCUGGGUUUAGAACGUCGUGAGACAGUUCGGUCCCUAUCUGCCGUGGGCGCUGGAGAACUGAGGGGGGCUGCUCCUAGUACGAGAGGACCGGAGUGGACGCAUCACUGGUGUUCGGGUUGUCAUGCCAAUGGCACUGCCCGGUAGCUAAAUGCGGAAGAGAUAAGUGCUGAAAGCAUCUAAGCACGAAACUUGCCCCGAGAUGAGUUCUCCCUGACUCCCUGAGAGUCCUGAAGGAACGUUGAAGACGACGACGUUGAUAGGCCGGGUGUGUAAGCGCAGCGAUGCGUUGAGCUAACCGGUACUAAUGAACCGUGAGGCUUAACCUUACAACGCCGAAG
rnacentral:rRNA from 1 species